rnacentral:rRNA from 1 species
AACGAACGCUGGCGGCAGGCUUAACACAUGCAAGUCGAACGAUCUCUUCGGAGGUAGUGGCAGACGGGUGAGUAACACGUGGGAACGUACCUUUCAGUCAGGAAUAACUCAUGGAAACGUGAGCUAAUACCCGAUACGCCCUUUUGGGGAAAGAUUUAUCGCUGAAAGAUGGGCCCGCGUCUGAUUCGCUAGUUGGUGGGGUAAUGGCCUACCAAGGCGACGAUCAGUAGCCGGUCUGAGAGGAUGAUCAGCCACACUGGGACUGAGACACGGCCCAGACUCCUACGGGGGGCAGCAGUGGGGAACAUUGGACAAUGGGCGCAAGCCUGAUCCAGCCAUGCCGCGUGAGUGAUGACGGCCUUAGGGUUGUAAAGCUCUUUCGACGGGGACGAUAAUGACGGUACCCGUAGAAGAAGCCCCGGCUAACUUCGUGCCAGCCGCCGCGGUAA